rnacentral:rRNA from 1 species
GACGAACGCUGGCGGCGUGCUUAACACAUGCAAGUCGAACGGAAAGGCCCUGCUUUUGUGGGGUGCUCGAGUGGCGAACGGGUGAGUAACACGUGAGUAACCUGCCCUUGACUUUGGGAUAACUUCAGGAAACUGGGGCUAAUACAGGACAGGAGCUCCUGCUGCAUGGUGGGGGUUGGAAAGUUUCGGCGGUUGGGGAUGGACUCGCGGCUUUUCAGCUUGUUGGUGGGGUAGUGGCUUACCAAGGCUUUGACGGGUAGCCGGCCUGAGAGGGUGACCGGCCACAUUGGGACUGAGAUGCGGCCCAGACGCCUACGGGAGGCAUCAGUGGGGAAUAUUGCACAAUGGGCGGAAGCCUGAUGCAGCAACGCCGCGUGCUGGAUGACGGCCUUCGGGUUGUAAACCGCUUUCGCCUGUGACGAAGCGUGAGUGACGGUAAUGGGUAAAGAAGCACCGGCUAACUACGUG